GUAUAUAUAGGUAUACAUUAUUUGCCUUGUCAAUUCGAACAGAAACAUAACAUUGUCGUAAUAAUGAAAUUUACUGGAGUAUUGUUCUACAUUUUGCUAGUUAUGGCAGUCAUUUUUGACUCUACUGACGCUUUUUUUGGGAGUCGUCUAAACGUUAAACACGAGCGCGUUAACAUCAAUGUUAAGAUGGAAAAGCCUGUGAGAAAGCGUCCUAUAGGAUAUG